AAGGAGCACCACGAGAGACACUCUCCGUUGGGGAGGGUGUGAGCCGUGAGGAGCUGGAGCGCUGUAGUGGCGCCGGCUUGGUGCACAGCAAACGUUGAGAUGCGGUGUGGGAAACGCUGUUUCGAUGGACUGCCAGACACACUAUUGGGCCCUGAGACAACAGGCCCGUUGUUCCCUGGCCACUGUGUGUGGUGGGAGGCGUGUUGUUGCCCUGCUUUGGUGGUGGGGUGUGGUGUUUGAUUUGUGGAUAGUGGUUGCGAGCAUCUAGUUCGUAAGAGUGUGGCUGCCGGCCUUUGAGGUUGGGUGGCGCAUUGUUGCGGACAAAUUGAUGUGCAAUUUUUCUUCUGAUUAUUGGUUUUUUGUGUUGUAAGUGUUUAAGGGCGCAUGGUGGAUGCCUUGGCACUGGGAGCCGAUGAAGGACGUAGGAGGCU
rnacentral:misc_RNA from 1 species